rnacentral:rRNA from 1 species
GAUGAACGCUGGCGGCGUGCUUAACACAUGCAAGUCGAACGGAAAGGCCAGUGCUUGCACUGGUACUCGAGUGGCGAACGGGUGAGUAACACGUGGGUGAUCUGCCCUGCACUUCGGGAUAAGCCUGGGAAACUGGGUCUAAUACCGGAUAGGACAAUGGUUUGGAUGCCGUUGUGGAAAGUUUUUUCGGUGUGGGAUGAGCUCGCGGCCUAUCAGCUUGUUGGUGGGGUAAUGGCCUACCAAGGCGUCGACGGGUAGCCGGCCUGAGAGGGUGUACGGCGACAUUGGGAAUGAGAUACGGCCCAGACUCCUACGGGAGGCAGCAGUGGGGAAUAUUGCACAAUGGGCGCAAGCCUGAUGCAGCGACGCCGCGUGGGGGAUGACGGCCUUCGGGUUGUAAACUCCUUUCGCUAGGGACGAAGCGUAUUUGUGACGGUACCUGGAGAAGAAGCACCGGCUAACUACGUG